CCGGAGCUCGGUCACCGCCUGUUCCACGGCCACUGACAACGCGUGAAACCCAACAGCUCCUCGGCUCGCUUCCCCGCCAGCGCGGCCGGACGCUGUUAUGUUCGAGGCGAUGGUUCAAGGAGUGAAAUCACAUACACCAAGUCUCGUACCAAUUAAGACUUUAACCACUAAUUGCCAAGAAUAAAAUAAAAGCAACCUGAAGUGGAAAUAAGACAGCUUACAUCACGUCCAGCUUCACCAGGAGCACCAUUUGGACCAGGAGAACCCACAGGACCAGAGGGACCACGGGCACCAGGAGGACCAGAAACACCCAGGGGACCAGGUUCACCCUAAUAUAGGAACAGUGAGAUGCCUGGAAGACCACGUUCUCCCCGAGAACCAGGCAGACCAAGAAUACCAGGAGCACCAAGAAUACCCUGAGGACCUGGGGUGCCAGGAGGACCCUGUGAUGUGAAG